GUGGGGGAUAUUGCACAAUGGGGGAAACCCUGAUGCAGCGACGCCGCGUGAGUGAAGAAGUAUUUCGGUAUGUAAAGCUCUAUCAGCAGGGAAGAAAAGGGCGAAAGCCCGGACAGUACCUGACUAAGAAGCCCCGGCUAACUACGUGCCAGCAGCCGCGGUAAUACGUAGGGGGCAAGCGUUAUCCGGAUUUACUGGGUGUAAAGGGAGCGUAGACGGCGAUGCAAGUCUGGAGUGAAAGCCCGGGGCCCAACCCCGGGACUGCUUUGGAAACUGUGUAGCUGGAGUACAGGAGGGGCAGGCGGAAUUCCUGGUGUAGCGGUGAAAUGCGUAGAUAUCAGGAGGAACACCGGCGGCGAAGGCGGCCUGCUGGACUGAAACUGACGUUGAGGCUCGAAAGCGUGGGGAGCAAACAGG
rnacentral:rRNA from 1 species